rnacentral:lncRNA from 1 species
UUUCUGUGUUUGGACUCCUUUUAGCUCCCUUUGCUCUUCGGAUGUCAAUGGAUACGGAUAUUUAAAAUUUAAUCCGAAUUCGAACUCAAAUAGAAUGAUUUUAUUUAAUGCUAAACUAAUAUAAUUUCAAAUACUGAUACAAAACACGAAAAUUCUACGGAUUUAAAUUCGUAUAUGCAUUUUGUUUGUAUCCCACCAGAUCCUGAAACCUGAUCCGAAUCUAAUAUGAUUAUAUAUAUAUGUAUAUAUAGAUACAGUAGAUCUUGAGUGCAUGCUAUUAGGAGGAGCACGUACGGAGGCCUCCGUAUUUCUAAACCGUUUUCGAUGAUGAAGCUAUCGAAUCAACGAUCGGCUUCAUUAGACUUGAUCUAACUUAUUUAAAAUAUCUAGAAAAUAAAUUUUACUAUUUUUUCUAUAUCAUUUACCAAGUAAUCGAAAGGGUUCAAAAUUAAAGACUGAAAAUAAAAAUUCAUAUCUAUAACACUAAAAUUUUCAAUCAAAAAUAUUAAUCUUUGAUACUGUACAAUAAAAUAAAAUCGGUUCCAUGAGUGUCCACCUGAAAAGAAAUGUAAGCCCAUCAUGUCAGAAAUGUCAUUGAUGCCUCUGGCUCCAGAUCAGAUAUGGGACCACACCCACCUACCCACCCACCCACACACCCACUACUAAGUUCUCCUGGAUCAUGAGCUGUAAAAUCAAUUGUUACAUUCACUUUCGAAAGAUAUUUCUUUUUCUGUUCCUACCAUAUCUAUCUUUAUCAGUAUCAUCUGCAUAGGGGUGGAAACGAGCCGAGCUCGAGCGAGUUUAUGUCAGCUCAAAUUCGGCUUAAAAUUAAUUUCGAGCCUAAAUCUAGGCUCAAGCUCGGCUUGAAAUUAAUUCAAGCCGAGCUCGAGCGAGCCUAAUUUCGAGUCGAGCCGAGCUCGAGCUCUAAACGAGCCGAUUGAAAUUCUCGACAUUAUAUAAUCAAUAGUUUAAUUUUUAUAGAACAUUACCUACAAUUUGAUGCAACAUGUCCAAUAGUUUAAAAUACAAAAUAAUUAUAAGAAAUGUGAGCUAGGGUGACUUCCUGACUGGAUGAGGGCCUGAGAGAGAGAGAGAGAGAGAGAGAGAGAGGAAAAAAAGUAAGGAUUUGAGAAUUUGAAUGUUAUCAUGUUUUAGGGUUAUGUGCAACAGUAAAAGUCUGAAAGAGAGAGUGUGUUAUGUAAAUUUAGAGUUAGGCUCAAUUGUACGGUUGUACUUGUUGGGUUUAUUUUAUGGGCCAACAAUAAUACCCCAAAUUAAAUUAAAGCCUAUAUAUAAUUAAAAUACAUUAUAUAUAUAUAUAUAUAUA